ensembl:rRNA 5S_rRNA 5S ribosomal RNA
AUCUACUGCCAUACCACUCUGAAUGUGCCUAAUCUCAUCUGACCUUGGAAGCUAAGCAGGGUGGGGCCUGGUUAGUACUUGGAUGGUAGAAUCCUAAUUGAGUUAGAAG